ACGCGAAACGACUUACCCACACAUACACGUUUAUAGUGCAGUGUGCCACUUGGGCAUUAAUUCAGCUGUGUGUAUUUUGGAUGUACCCAACCUGUCUGUGACAAAUCCACUCGCUUCGAAUUUGAUUUUUAGAGGGAAAGCAAGAGGGAAGGGGUGCGAUUUCGAACUAUAUCGUUUGAAGCUAAAACAUAAAACCACCGCAACGUGAUUCGUUCGUGAAUAUUAACCGUGAGUGAGUGAAAUCAAUAGCAUCCGAAACGUUUCAGAUAUGCAUGAAAUAAACGGUUUUUUUUUCAAGACUGAUGUUUAUGAUAAAUUGAUAGCAACAAAUCAUUCUUGUGCGAUCUUUAUAAAAGUGCGAAAACAUCUCGGAGCGGAGAGUUAGCAGCGCGAGUUAACUGUCGGAAGCUUCAAUUGAGAUCGGUGAUUGCGAAUGGUGAUUACGGCGCGGGUCCGUAUCGCAUGCGGGUACGCGCUUGAGGUGUCCGCCGGGAGGGGCGCAGGCGCGUUGGUGCGGGGGCGCGCACGUCGCCAAGCUGGUCGGAGGCGGGGUGUUCCGUUGCUG